UCCGGGUUGGACCCGGCGGUCCCGCCGGACAUGGUAACUGGCAGCGAGGGUUGCGCUCGUUGCGGGACUUAACCCAACAUCUCACGACACGAGCUGACGACAACCAUGCACCACCUGUGAACCAGCCCCAAAGGGGAAACCACAUCUCUGCGGCGGUCUAGUCCAUGUCAAGCCUUGGUAAGGUUCUUCGCGUUGCAUCGAAUUAAUCCGCAUGCUCCGCCGCUUGUGCGGGCCCCCGUCAAUUCCUUUGAGUUUUAGCCUUGCGGCCGUACUCCCCAGGCGGGGUGCUUAAUGCGUUAGCUUCGGCACGGAACGGGUUGAAGACCGCCCCACACCUAGCACCCAACGUUUACGGCUGGGACUAC
rnacentral:misc_RNA from 1 species